rnacentral:lncRNA from 1 species
UAAUUAAGGUAGCUUAACAUGAAGAUCGACGCAGGAAGAAGGAUGAAAAUUAUGCUUGCGAUGUUGAUGUUGAUGUUGAUGAUGGUGGUCUUUUCGGCGCAUGGCAGUUGUUAUAGUGAUUGCAUGGAUAAUUGUUACGCGCAAUUAUUGGCUUGUGGCGCAAAAUGUAGAAGCCGGUGUGGCCAUUCCUCGUCUCUCCCCCAAUUUCCUGAAAAUGGUGGCGCAAAAGAUCAAAAGAGGCACCCCAAGACUGGAAGAAAAAUUGCAGCUGGAACAAUUCUUUGAAGACCUUAUGCUACUCCAAUAAAAGUGUCCCUUAAUAGAACAAGAAAAGCGUAUUCUGUUUUCUUGAUAAUCAGAAUAAAGCAUAAUAAUUUGAAAUUGUUCAACAUUUUCUUUUUUUUCUUUUUUGGGGAAUUAUGGGAGGGACGUACCAAUUUCGAACCCUUGACCUUAGUUGUGGAAGUUCCAAAAUUGCCCAGUGGCAUCUCAUAGAAUCAUUGAUUUCACCCUAUGAAUAUAUUUUUCAAAUCUUCACAAGUCCGAGUUUUAAAAAUAUUGAGGUAUUAAUCACAUCAUAAUAUAUUUUCUCGUGUUAGUGCAUCAAAGAGAAUCGUGCUAUUUAUACAAAUUAGGUUGACAAACUUAGUUUAAAAACUAUGUAUUGGCGACGUUUAGGUCCAUCAUUUCAAAAACAGUUUUUGAAAUUAAUGAAAAUCAAUGGUUUAGAUCUUGUCAGUACAUAGUUUGUAAAUAAACUUUGUAUACGUAGAUUAAUUCUUUCUUUAGACUGUGAAGUCCCAAAGUAAAUAACAAGAAUACAUGAUGUUGCGUGUUGUCACACCUGACCAACCUAUUUGGGACAAUGGCCCACUCAUGGCGAUCCACGUGGCAUUCCUGUCGAGGUGGCACACAACAUCGAGGUGGGCUACAUCCGAACUGCUUCGAGCGAAGUCCAUUUGCACCGAGGCCUACAAACCGAAGCCAGGCUGCUGGAACCUGUUGAGAGCAGCUGAGACCCUCAUGUGGAAGUAUCAUGACAAAUGGCCGAAGCCCCGAAACUGAUGCGCGAGCCUCUGAACCACAAGGAAACAUCCUCCAUGGUCACUUCUCCCAAGAGAUCGCCUGCACAGAUCUUAUUCGAAUGAUUGAUGGAACGUUUGUUAUAAGCAUAAAUGUCAAGUCUUGUCACUAGCAUGGAGGCCCUGCACAAGCAAUGAAUGCGCCGUAAGCUAGCAAGUUAAGCCCCAUACCUAGGAAAAGAUGUUUGAACUAAAGAGAUGAGGCCACGUGCCACUUCAUCCAAGAGCUCCCAUUUCAUAUGUACUACUAUAAAUACUUUCUUGUGUAAUAUCAAAAGGCUAAUGCAAGAAUCAAUACAAAGAACUACAUUUACUCAACUCUCUCUCAUUUUACUUGCAAUACACAGAUCGAGUUUAUACAUAUUUACAUAUACAUUUAUGAACACCGGUUGGUAAUUAUUGUACCAUCGGAUUACGAACAACCCGCCGGAUUCCGAACGCUACCGUCCCACGUCGUUGGGCUACUCCCACGCCCUUUGAACCGCUCGUUUUAGACCGUCCACGUGUCUUAGCGUGUUGGACAUUCGCCCACAUAAGCGCAGAUGGGAUCGGCAUCUGUUGGCGCACUUUUUGGGGUCAACAGAUUGACGCCGUCUGUGAGAAAUCAUACCAUAACCACGAGCAACCUUGUGGUAAAAGCUUACUGAAAAAUAUUUGGGCAACCCCCCUUAAAAAGGGAUUUGUUCUUGAAAAAGAACCGGAAGAACCCCUAUCACUUGAACAAAUCUAAGUUUGAUAAAAGAAAAAUGAGUUCUAACGAAAAUACUCCCUCCAGGAGGUUAAGAGAAAGCACGAAUGUGCCUCCCCAGCCUGCUGCCCCAACAGCUCGGUCGAGGCUCCACCACCACCAAAGGAGAGGUGGAAUGCGUGCGAUAGCACGACUGUCAAGAGAAAUGGCUACCAUGGCAGCCAACAUGAGGGAUAUUGCCAACCAAAACUUGGCCAUGAGGGAGCUCAUGGCUCAAAUGCAAGGCCAAGGAGGCUUCCCCAUUCCUCCACACGCCCCCCUCCCCCACAGGCACUAUCAGCAAGAGGACAAGGUUCAGAGUCAUAGGGCUGUCUCGCCAAACUAUGGCCGAGGUGGAAGCCCGUUCAAGAGGGAAGUGGGAGUCGACAUUUACUCCAACUAUGCUUCUGGCCGACCCACCGAGGCCCAAAUGAGCCACGAUGAUUUUCCACCUCCAUAUGAGCAAGAUCCAAGACAUAGGAGAGCUGGCAGUGUUUUUGACAAAAUCAGUCCCCCGAAUCGAAGCUCAGUCAACAGCAGGCUCAGCAGCCUCGAACGAGGCCACAGCCUCCACCUCCAAUGCCCCAGCAGCCGAAGAGAAGGCAUGAAAAUGCCCCCCGUGCUGCUCCGCAAAGGAGGGAGGAAGAGGCUAGGAACCAGCCCGGACCCUCUCACCAACAACCAAGGUACGAGGCCGAUGACUACGAUUCUGAUGAGUAGCAAAGGUCCUGUGACUUGGAUGAUGAUGAUAAGAACCUGCCAUUCUCAAAAGAACUAAGGAAUGCCCAGGUCCCGAGCCACUACGUCAUGCCAAAAAUACCAAAGUAUGACGGGAAAGGCGACCCGGAGAAGUACCUUAACGCUUACAAAACUCACAUGAGCCUGAGGGGUGCCACCCCAGCCGUGAAGUGCAGGGCUUUCCACUUAACCCUCAGUGGAGCGGCUGAAAUCUGGUAUAGCAGGUUGCCACCUGGGAGCAUCCGAAGCUGGCCCGAGUUCAAGACAACAUUCUUGAAGCAAUUCGCAGUGAGCAAGGAAGGAGAGGCCCCCAUCCAGCGUCUCCAAGACAUGAGACAUGCACAUGGGGAGUCCCUAAAGAGCUUCCUAUCACGCUUUACCGACGAGAUGACUUACUGCGUACAAGUCACCGACAGAUAAGCACUAUCUGCAUUGAGGGGAGGCCUGAACAUGAACACCCUAUUUUGGAGGGAUGUGCAGAAUCAGGAUCCCACCACCUAUGAUGCCUUACUAGAGAUGAUGAGAAGGGAGAUAAUCAAUGAAGAAUUGAUUGAGCAUAGGAACAUGGCAGGCAGAGGCCUCCCACCUCCUCAAAGGCAGCGAGGUAGGGGUCCGACUUCCCCAUCUCAUGGACUACCAGAUGAACCAAACCAGAAAUGAGAACUCUGGAGAAGCACUGGCCACCACAACUCUGAACGCGGUUCCUACCUUGGCAUAUGAGGAUGUCAACCCAAUUGCUGACCCACAUCAGAUGGAGGCCCAGCAGGGACCCCGAAGAGGGAGAGGCUGAGGCCGAGGCUUUGCACCUAGAAAUAGGUCCAAUCCGAACCUCCCAGGAUACUGUUUGCACCACAGGUCCUAUGGGCAUGACACCGCGGAUUGCAGAGACUAUGCACACCGCUCCCGGCAGGAACCUACCAGAGACAGACAUGAUUCACCCCAGGCGAAUAGGCCCUUGCCCAGGCACGACAACCGUCGUGGGCGUGAGGAGGCCACUUCCCAUCAAAGGGAUGAGUCCCCACGACGAAGGGAGCAUGAUGCAGAGAGGCCCAGGGAAGGGCGUAGGCACCAAAGAAAUCGGCAUGCUCAAGAUAAGGCCCCUAUCCACGAAGUGGAUACCAUAUUUGGAGGCCCUUAUGUUGGUGGUAAAACACGAAACACCAAAAGAAAUUAUGGUCGGGAGGCUAAACACCCCCCUUUGACGAGUUACAUUGUGGACAAUAGCUCCCGAAGAAACCAAGUACCACCCAUUGUCUUCACCCAGGAAGACGCCGAAGGAGUACAUUACCCCCAUUGCGAUGCGCUUGUGGUGAGGGCUUUCAUAGCCCGGAAUGGGCUCAAACGAAUGUUAGUCGACAACGGCAGCUCCGUCAACAUCCUGUUUGGGUCCGCCUUUAACAAAAUGAUAUUGGACCAUCAGUUGACGCCCACCACCACACCAUUGUACGGAUUUAUCGGAGAUAGCAUCACUCCGAGGGGAAAGAUAACAUUGGUAGUGGAGAUGGGAGAGGCUCCUCAAACUAUGAUGAAUUUCAUGGAAUUCCUCAUAGUUGACAGCCGGUCGGCUUACCACGAAGUCUUGGGCAGACCAGCCCUAAAGGAAUUGGGAGCAGUCACUUCCAUCCACCACCUAUGCAUGAAAUUCUCAACAGAAAACGGGGUGGCAACGGUGAGAGGCGACCAGAGAGGCUCAAGAGAGUGCUAUCUAAGCUCCAUUAAGAAGGUAGAGCCCCGGGACGUCCACGUGAUCAUGGCUGAUGUGGUCAUGGCGGAUGUCCCAGGUUACGCUCCCACUGAACAAGAAGAUGUUGAUAUGAUUGACGAGCCGCUUAAUCCGGAGGUGCUGAUCAUUGAUGAGAUUGACCCUCGCAUAAUGGAAUAUGAGCCUCAAGCAUCCCCUGUAGAGAAACUUAAGAGCUUCUCGGCCGACCCCCAAGACCUUUCCAAGGUGCUGAACGUAGGCAAAGGCCUAUCCAACAUUUUGAGAGAAAAGAUUAAGGGCUUCCUAGGCGAGAACCUUGACAUCUUUGCUUGGAGACAUGAGGACAUGGUGGGCAUUGAAACCAAGGUUAGCUGCCACCACUUGAAAAUUGAUCCUAAGGUUGCUCCGCAUAGACAAAAAAGGAGAGCCCUCAACCCUGAGAGGUAUGAGGCCCUGAAGGAAAAGGUUCAAAAGCUUAUCCAAAACGGCUUCAUCAAGGAGGCUACCUUUCCAACCCAAUCCUGGUUAAGAAACACAAUGGCAAAUGGAGGGUAUGCAUCGACUUUACCAACCUCAAUAGAGCUUGCCCGAAAGACAGCUUUUCGCUUCCAAGGAUUGACCAAUUGGUAGACUCCAUGGUCGGGCACGAGUUGUUGAGCUUCAUGGAUGCAUACUCUGGCUACAACCGAAUCCCCAUGCAUCCGGCCGAUGAAGAGCACACCUCUUUCAUCACUGACCGAGGUCUUUAUUGCUAUAGAAUGAUGCCCUUCGGGUUGAAAAACGUCGGAGCAACCUACCAAAGACUCAUGAACAAAAUUUUUACGGACCUCAUUGGCAAGACAAUGGAGGUCUACGUGGAUGACAUGCUGGUGAAGAGUUUAGAAGCAGAGGACCACAUAGCGCACCUCAACGAUACCUUCCAAAUCCUCAGAAGGUACAGGAUGAGGCUCAACCUGCUUAAAUGUGCCUUUGGGGUGGCUUCCAGCAAGUUCUUGGGGUACAUAGUCAACCAACGAGGAAUCGAGGCCAACCCUGAGAAGAUUGAGGUUUUAUGCCAGAUGAGGUCCCCCCAAAAGUCAAAGGAAGUGCAAAGCUUAACUGGACGAGUGGCAGCACUUAGUCGCUUCGUCUCUAAAGCGACUGACAAGUGCCUCCCUUUUUCAAAGUUCUCAAGGCUGAGAAGAAAUUCCAAUGGACUGAGGAAUGUGAAGAGGCCUUCCAAGGCCUGAAAAGGCACCUGGGACAGGUCCCCCUCCUCUCCAAGCCGAAGCCCAGUGAUAGCUUGUAAUUAUAUCUUGGCGUCUCCAAUGAGGCCAUCAGUUCGGUUCUUAUUCGAGAAGAAGGGUCCACCCAACUCCCCGUCUACUAUAUGAGUAAAGCGCUCCUAUCACCGGAAACCCGUUACGCCGAUAUGGAGAAGCUCGCUCUAGCCUUAAUCACGACCUCCAGGAAAUUGAGGCCCUACUUCCAAGCUCAUACCAUUAAUGUACUUCCAAAUUUUCUCCUGAGGCAGGUACUCCAAAAGUCCGAUGCCUCAGGAAGACUAUUGAAAUGGGCGGUGGAACUAAGUGAAUUCGACCUUGUGUUCAAGGCUAGGGCAGCCAUCAAGGGGCAAGCCUUAGCUGACUUUGUGGCGGAAUUCGCCAACCUACCCGAGGUGGAUGCAAUUAUGGAACACAUUGAGCCUCCCACGUGGAGCCUCUUCAUCGAUGGUUCAGCUGGGGAGCUCGGCUCAGGCGCCGGUGUUGUCCUCAUCAGCCCCGAGGGUCACAAGCUCACCUCGGCGGUGAGGUUCAGAUUCAAAGCCACCAAUAAUGUAGCGGAGUAUGAGGCACUCCUUGCAGGCCUCAGACUGGCCAAGGAAAUGCAAGUAAAGAGGCUACUCAUCAGUAGUGACUCCCAGCUAGUUGUUAGCUAGGUCAAUGGUAACUUCUCAGCCAAAGACAAAACGAUGGCCUCCUAUCUGAAAAUGGUGAUGAACCUCAUCCCGUCCUUUGAAAAGUUCGAGUUAAUCCAGAUUCCCCGCAUCGGAAACACACAUGCGGAUGCAUUCUCGAAGCUUGCUAGUAGCAAAGACUCAGAGCUACUCACAGUAGUGCCUAUUGAGCACCUUCUCUUGCCUUCUAUCGAGGCCCCCAAUGUCAUGUGGGUCGCGGAAACUCCCACCUGGAUGCAACCGAUCAUAGCAUAUCUGAAGGACCAGGUGCUGCCCACCAACAAGAAUGAGGCUUAUAUGCUACGGAGAAGGUCGGCCCACUUUUUCUUCAUUGAUGACAUUCUCUACAAGAGAAGCUUCUCCUCUCCACUCUUACAAUGCGUCGGAGGAGAAGAGGCUACCUACAUACUAAGAGAAAUCCACGAGUGAGUGUGCAGCAACCACUCCAGAGGCCUAUCUCUGGCACAAAAAAUACUGAGGCAAGGGUACUACUGGCCUACCCUGAAACGGGACGCCCUCGAAUUCGUACGAAAAUGCGAUAAAUGCCAACAAUUCUCUCCCGUGCAAAGAUAACCAUCACAGGACUUGACUGCAGUCUCCAGCCCCUGGCCUUUCUCAAAAUGGGGCGUGGACCUCAUAGGUCCCCUACCUAAGUGUAGAGGAGGGCGCAAGUUUCGCAAUAGUGGCCAUUGAUUACUUCACAAAGUGGGUCGAAGCUGAACCACUGGCAAAAAUCACAGAAGCUAACACUUCCAAGGUCCUAUGGAAAAAUAUUAUUUGUCGGUUCGAAAUUCCCUAUUCGAUCGUCUCAGACAAUGGCAGACAGUUUGACAACAAAAGGGUUAGAGAACUAUGUGAGGAGCUCGGCAUAGCACUUCUCCACACCUCACCACCUUCAAGCAAAUGGCCAAGUGGAAGCCGUAAACAAGACCAUCAAGCACGUCCUAAAAAGGAAGCUUGAUGUAUCCAAAGGAGCUUAGGUUGAUGAGCUGCCCCAAGUACUUUGGGCAAUCCGAACCACCACCAGGACCCCAAUCGGGAGACCCCUUUUUCAUGGCAUAUGGGACUGAGGCGACGAGCCCCGUGGAAGUCGGACUCCCAUCUCCACGACGUCUGCACUUCAGCGAAGUAACUAACGACGAGCUUUGGAGGCUCGACCUCGAUUUCAUUAAAGAGAGAAGAGACGACUCCCAGCUGAAGCUCAGCACCUAUCAAAGAAAAAUGACAAGGUACUUCAACUCCAAAGUUAAGAAGAAGUCAUUCCGAAUCAACGACCUUGUACUCAGAAUGGUCUUCCUAUCUUCAAAAGAACCUGGUUCCGGUUCCCUAGGCCCGAAUUGGGAAGGCCCAUACAAAAUCAGAAAGGAAGUUUGACCUGACACCUACUGGAUUGAAGACAUGGACGGCAAGGCACAACCCCGUCCAUGGAACAUCGAGUACCUCAGGAUCUAUUAUCAAUAAAUUGUACCAACAUGCUGGAUAACAUUACCCAGCCUUUGUAAUAAUUCUAUGGUUCUAUAAAAUUCAUUUGUUAAAUCAACGUGUCGUACUGCAUCGUCACCUCGGAGGAGAGGCUCGAAUCCCACAUAUGGGCCACCUCGCUUGAACUCCGAGGCUCAAGCACAUCCCCUCCCUUUGGCCUUGCUGAACGCCAAGGGGAGAAGCCUCAACAUGGCUGCACCAUUCAUCAUGUUUGGGAUGCGUCGUCACCUCGGAGGAGAGGCUCGGGACCCACCUUUGGGCCACCUCGCUUGAACUCCGAGGCGCUAGCACAUGCCUCCCUUUGGCCUUGCUGAACGCCAAGGGGAGAAGCUUCAACAUGGCUGCACAAUCCACCAUGUUUAGGAUGCAUCGUCACCUCGGAGGAGAGGCUCGGGACCCACCUCUGGGCCACCUCGCUUGAACUCUGAGGCGCUAGCACAUGCCUCCCUUUGGCCUUGCUGAACGCUAAGGGGAGAAGCCUCAAUAUGACUGUACCAUCCACCAUGUCGGGGAUGCGUCGUCACCUCGGAGGAAAGGCUCGGGACCCACCUUUGGGCCACCUCGCUUGAACUCUGAGGCGCUAGCACAUGCCUCCCUUUGGCCUCACUGAACGCCAAGGGGAGAAGCCACCGCCCCUACAGUCUGAGGCUCCAACAGUUCACCUCCUUAAGUUAUGUUCAUUUGCUUAAGUCCGAGGCUCCAACAGUUCAUCUCCUUAAGUUAUGUUCAUUUGCUUAAGUCCGAGGCCCACACAGUUCCUUAAGUUAUGUUCGCUUAUUUCAGUCCGAGGCUCAUAUAGUUGACUGAUUGAAAUCAAGGUACUAAGUUAAAGUUAUUUAGUUCGUGCUCUUAUCAAUCUCCAGUUCAUUUGUUUAACGAGGCACAAAAACUUGGAUAAAGAACAACAAUGAAUGAAGAAAACAUUAUAUUAAUAUUCAAAAGGGAUUACAAAGGAGGGCCUCUGGCCAUUACAUUCAAAGGACUGAAAAGGAAAACCUAGUCUAAGCCUGGCUAGAUGGCGGAGGCGCCUCAGCACUUGGGGCUUCGGCAACUUGGGCAUCAGUAGUUGCUUCCUUAGCCUCAGUACUUGGGGCUUCGGCAUCAGCUGCCUUAUCACCCUGUACCUCCUCAGCUGGGGUCUGAGGAACCUCAUCCACAAAUUCAGACCUGAGUUGAGUCAGAUCCAAGUUGGGAUACAGCUCCUCCGCUCGCUCCAUCACCUCGGCAUAGGUGAAGUUCCUCCAGUAUGCACUAAAGCUCUUAUAUUCCUCAGUUGUAUGGAAGUUAGCGAUGUAUUCCUUCACCGCUUCCUCCCCUGCAGUUUGGGCCUCUUCCCUUACAUGAGAGGCGUCGUCCACGUACCACUUUAUUUGGCCCUCCAGAUACUUAUAAACGUCUUGAGCACCUGUCAAGGAGAGAUUUGCCUUCUCCAGGGCCUCAGCAGUCACCUUUUGGUGCUCAUUGGAGACCUCCACCUUCUUUGUUAAGGAGGCCACCUCGCACUGUGACUCGUAUAUUUCCUUUCUUAAGGCCUCAAUUUGGGCCAGUGCAGACUCAAGUUUCGCUGAUUCUUCAACUUUUUGGGCCUUUGCUUCCUCAGCCUCGGCCUUAGCAGCUUUCAGCUCCUCUGUGAGGGAGGCCAUCUUCCCCUCCGAGGCCUGGAUCCUUGUUUGAAAUUCACUAAGGGCCUCCUUGCAUUCCAACGCGAGGCCGAAAGUCCUGACGCUCUGGCUCACUAAUGCCCUUGUCAGAUCAGUGGCAUCGUAAGCGGAGGCGUGCAGCUGCCACCUCUCUGUCCAGAACUUGUAGAAGCUCUCAGUGGCGCUUCGGAUCUCUUCAGGGAGAGCCUCUACCAAGGCCAGGGCCAGUGCCUCCUCCCUCCCAACUAAGAAGCUUGGAGACUUCCCCUUCUCACGGACCGACUUUUGCUUUGCAGCCUCCUCCUCGGUAGCCUCCGAAGCGCGCCUAGCAGCCUCUGCUCUAGCCUCGUCGGCCUCUGCCUCUCUAACCUCUCAAUUUUGAUGGCCUUUGAGGUGGCUGCAAGCAACUUCGGCUCGCCAAUUUGCUUUGCCUCAUGGGACACAGAGGUCCCGAAUUUCCCAGCCGAACUGGAGAUAUGCACCAGCUUCCUCUUUUUUUUCUCCUCAAGGACCUUCUCCUUCCCCCGAGGCUCCUUCGACUUCUCCUGCCUCUGAGGUGUUGCCUCCUCUGAGGCCCGCGGAGUACAGUCCUUGGACAGGCGUUCAACCCUGCCUCGGACUUCCUUCGCCGCACUGGAGCCCGGCUUCAGAGGCCUCGCCUUCACAGUAGAAGUGGCCUUCAGAAUGGAAGCCAUAUCUGGAGCUGGGUACUUCCUCUUCUUGAAUUUAUCUGCGCAAUACAUUAGGUUAGCAUCAGUAUCAGAACAAAAGGAUAAGAAAAUUGUAACUGUGGGAGCUUCGUACCUCUGGAUGCCAUCAGCUCAAAGUCCAGAAAAUAGCGACUCCUGUCAAUGAAGUGGUCGAAGUGGCGAAGCAUCAGAAGCCUCCUGAAGAUGUCCUCUAUUACCUCGAACUCCUUGCGGUUGAGCUCGAACCUCGUACUACUAUCUGCAAAGGAAGUCCCAAUAGUUAGACAAAUUCAAACCUUGGCUUCAGAAAACAAGUAGGGUCUGGGAGACUCAUGAGCUUCGUAGUACAAGGUCGGCACGGUGCAAGUAAGGGCUUUGUCCCCCUCCACUACUUGCCACUUACCUCGCACCCAGAACCAAGACUCCUUCCACCCCUUGAUAGAGGAAGGAAGUCCCACCACAAAAGGUGCUUGAACCCUCCAAAGCGUGAGGUAGUACCACCCCCUUAGACUCCUUCCCAUCACCCGAGGCUGGAACAGGGUCAUAAAUACAUGGAGAGGCAUGUCCUCCCCAAGUGACACUUCCUUCCACAGGAAGUACGAGCCGACCAGCUGGCUCCACCCAUUCGGCAGAACCUGGGUCGACGACAACAUGAAGUUCCUAAGCACCGCCCUGAAGAAGGGGUGCAGAGGUAGACGCAUACCUGCCUUGAACAGGUAUUCACUGACGGCCACGUAGCCGAGCCUCGGAUAGCAGGCCCGCUCGUUCGCCUCGGGGACUAACAUUUCUAUGGAGUGCGGUACACUAUACCUCUCCCUAAGUUCCCCCAACCUCUUCCACGUCAUGUUCGAAGGUACCCUAGACGCCCCCACUCCUGGGUAUAAUCUACAGGGUCCUUGGUCAUGGCAUACCUAUCCACCUUGGACUCCCCCAUCUGACUGACCCCAUAGUCUAAAGACGCCACUGUCACUAGCUCCCUACCCGAAGUGGACUCCAUUUUUUCAGUAAAAAGACAGUAAAAUGGUAUUUUCUGCAAAAAGUACCUAAAGGAAUUCGACACAAAUGGAGAUUGGCCAGAAAUUGAAAUUCCAGUCAACCAAAACGCCGGAAAAAUUUGAAGAUUUAAUCAGAGUGCAAGUGUUUGAAAAUCCUGAAAAAUGGGAUUUCCUCACCUUUUAUAGCGGUCCAGGACGAACCCCGACCGUUAGAUCGAAUCUCACUCAAUCUGAGCCCUCAAUUUCAGAUCCAAUCCGAGGCGUUGAAUUCAAAGGGUUUUUCAAUCCUACACCUCAGAUUCAUGCGUGCCUCCCACACAUCUCUUCCAGCGCGUCUGCUUCUAGAAGCGCCAACUGCCUUCAUAAUUGCGUUUUUAAUACGACAGCAACAGGCGCCUUGGAAGCCGUAACGGUUCAGCUACUUUUCCUCGAAAACAAGCACAAGACAUCAAAUCAUUGGCUUAGCUAUCAAGGCACAAUCAUUACCAUUGGACCUCGGCUUCAUCUCUACAUUCGGCCAACAAGCCUCGCAGGUUCGGUUCUUCAACUACCUCGGCUCCCCUUUCAUCAUUCAGCAACGAGCCUCGCAGGUUCGGUUCCUCAACCACCUUGGCUCCCUCCUUAACAUUUAGCAACAAGCCUCGCAGGUUCGGUUCCUCAACCACCUCGGCUUCCUCUUCAUCAUUUAGCAACAAGCCUCGCAGGUUCAGUUCCUCAACCACCUCGGCUUCCCCCUCAACAUUCAGCAACGAGCCUCGCAGGUUCGGUUCCUCAACCACCUCGGCUUCCCCUUCAUCAUUCAGCAACGAGCCUCGCAGGUUCGGUUCCUCAACCACCUCGGCUUCCUCUUCAUCAUUCAGCAACAAGCCUCGCAGGUUCAGUUCCUCACCACUUCGACUUCAUCUUCAAAAGUUCAACACCUCGCCUACUUCCUCGCUCACCCACAGCAACACUUCUCUAACUCCAAUCAUGAUAUAAAUAUCUAUACUAGGACUUGGGGGACUAUUAUUUGGGGUUCAAAAAUUCUUUCAAUUUUUACUCCAUUAAAGUCCACGCAUUACAUAAAUGAAUAUACUUGGACUUGGGGGACUAUUGUUGUGUGUUGUCACACCUGGCCAACCUACCUGGGACAAUGGCCCACUCAUGACGAUCCACGUGGCAUUCCUGUCGAGGUGGCACACAAUGCCGAGGUGGACUACAUCCGAAUUGCUUCGAGCGAAGUCCAUCUGCACCGAGGCCUACGAACAGAAGCCAGGCUGCUGGAACCUGUUGAGAGCAGCUGAGGCCCUCAAGUGGAAGUAUCAUGACAAAUGGCCGAAGCCCUGAAGCUGAUGCGUGAGCCUCUGAACCACAAUGAAACAUCCUCCAUGGUCACUUCUCCCAAGAGAUCGCCUGCACAGAUCUUAUUCGAAUGAUUGAUGGAACGUUUGUCAUAAGCAUAAAGGUCAAGUCUUGUCACUAGCAUGGAGGCCCUGCACAAGCAAUAAAUGCACCGUAAGCUAGCAAGUCAAGCCCCAUACCUAGGAAAAAAUGUUUGAACUAAAGAUAUAAGGCCACGUGCCACUUCAUCCAAGGGCUCCCAUUUCAUAUGUACUACUAUAAAUACUUUCUUGUGUAAUAUCAAAAAGCUAAUGUAAGAAUCAAUACAAAGAACUACAUUUACUCAACUCUCUCUCAUUUUACUUGCAAUACACAGAUCGAGUUUAUACACAUUUACAUAUACAUUUAUGAACACCAGUUGGUAAUUAUUGUAUAAUCAGAUCACGAACAACCCGCCGGAUUCCGAACGUCACCGUCCCGCGUCGUUGGGCUACUCCCACGCCCUUUGAACCGCUCGUUUUAGACCGUCCACGUGUUUUAGCGUGUUGGACAUUCGCCCACGCAAGCGCGGAUGAGACUGGCAUCUGUUGGCGCCCUUUUUUGGGUUAACACAUGAGAUAGACAUUGGACACAUUAUCGCAGCUGCUAACACACACAUUGCAACAAUAACGAAACAUAUAGAAAUCUUGGUAAAAACACAAGCACGACAUUGAAUCAGUUCAUAUGACACGGAUAUGGUGAAGUUAUAGGGCAAAUAAUUCUACACAAGCGCCUGUUACUGGCAAUAUCUUCGUUGGUGAACUACUACAUACUGUAUAUUCCUACUCAGUAUGGAAGUAUCGUUGGUGUAUUACAAUUGCACAAUAACAUGUGGCAUUUUGCAUCAAAAACAUAAUCUUAUUAUCUUAUACUUCUAGUGGAGUGUCACGUGGCAUUUUGCAUCAAAAACAUAAUCUUAUUAUCUUAUGGUUCUAGUGGAGUGUCGGUUCGGACAAUAUUCCUUUUUCCAUUUAUUUAUUUUUUCAGUACGUAUAAGUUAUAAUACUAAUAAUAGAACAAUGUUAUGAGUACCUUGUCUUUGUAUAAAUUAAAGAAGGAAAAUAGACAAGAUUAACCUAUACAAAUGUNNNNNNNNNNNNNNNNNNNNNNNNNNNNNNNNNNNNNNNNNNNNNNNNNNNNNNNNNNNNNNNGUUUAUAUUUGUCACAGUUUUUAAUAUUGGAGUUGAAAGAGCUCGUUGUCGUGUUUAACUAAAAUAAUUGAUGUAUAAAUUGUACAAGUAAUAUAGUGAUAAAUCAAAUUCAAAACAGACUAAUACGUUAGAUAGAAGGACAUGAAAUAUAAAAUAAAUGCGUGAAAUAAACAUAUAUAUAUUAAGAAUAUGAAAUAUAAAAAUGGAUGCAAUAAAUAUAAAUAAUAUAUUUUCAUAUUUUAUACUUUAUAUAUGUCGGGUAAUGAAGUUUCAUAUAUUUGCUUGAUAUUGGGAAUGAUCUUAUAAUUAAAAAUAAUUCUAUUUAGAGAAUUUUUCUAUAUAAAUUUAGUCCCUCUUUGGUAGAGAUUCUUCAUAUUUCAAUUUUUUCAUAAUUUAUCUUCAAUUACAUAUUCUUUCAAUAAAAUAUUUUCUUACAUUAACUCAUAAUUUUUUCAUACUUUUUAAUCAAACAUUCUAAAAAAAAUAAAAAUAUCAUUCUUCAUAAACUCUAUUCUCAAAAUUCUAUAUCUAACGGUCAAGUUUUUCUAAUAACUUGUUGAUGUAAUGCUUUAGGGAUUUUGCUGGAUGGAAGGGCUGAAUUGGCGCCUUCCUAUUGGAGGGGGUGCCCAAUGUGGCCCUGUCCAAACAGAAUUACUCAAUGCUUUAGGGGUAAAAACUAAAAUGUCAAUCAGUCAUUGAACUUUCAUCCGCGUCUCAAAUCAGCGACUAAACUUUACUUUAUUUGUAAUUAGUUGCUAAACUUAAAAAUCGUAUUCGAGCGAUACUCCUAUUAGUCUACUUCUUUAAAUCAACGCAUAAUGUUAUACAACAAAUGGCCAAAUUUACGUAGAACCUCAUCAGCCGUGAUCCAAAAUUAUUCUUUCCACGCCGUAUUUGAAAUCGAAAAAAAAAAAAAAAAAGAAAAAAAGAAAAAUGCAUCAUCCGAUUUAGAGAAAAAAAAAUCAAUUUAUUUGGUAAAUUUCAUGGUGAGAAAUAAUAUUGUAUAAUAACUAAGGAUGUUUCACAUAAGUCAGGUUGUUUGUCACGUAAGUCUACGAGUUAAAUUUACCCAUGUUGACUAAGAAAAGGAACGAUCAGAAACAAUUUUGAGAGUUCGUUGACGAAUUAAAAAUAAAAUAAAGUUUAAUGAUCGAUUUGAAACGCCUAUAAAAGUUCAACGGCACCUCUAUAGAACCCCAUUAGUCGAAUUACCAAGUCAUUUUGCUUCCAUCGUCUUCUUAAAAUCAAGAAAGAUCACUCCUUCCAUCCAAACCUAACUUGUCCACCACAUUAGUGCUCACCACCUUUAGCAAGCACAACUUAUUCGAUGACUAACCACAAACUUUUAUCUAGUCAUCGUAGUUGAAUGUUCUCACAACUAUUAUUAUGCACAGUGUGGUCCAAUUUUCUUCUAAAGCCUACGUCUCUCUCAGUAUCAAAUAUUAAUUUCAACCAUAAGUCUUGUAAGAUCUACAAAUACUAUUUUUUCCUUCAUUUUUUCAAAGUAAAAUUUUAGUAAAUAAAAUUAAGCACAUGCUUGACAACCUUUAAAAAUUAAAAUUGUUUGUUACAAUAUUAUUUUAUUAUACAUUCACACAAUAAAAUAUUUUACCCAAACAAUAAAAUUUUAUUACUUUUUAAUCACACAUUCUCCAAAAAUAUUAUUAAAAAAUCUUUAAUUUUUCUAAUAAUUGGUGUCAAACAGGGCCUUAAGUAAGCUGAGGCAAACUUAUGGCUAUUUUUGUUCAUGCCUUCUAUACGUGUCAAACUGUUUGACAUUUAUUAAAAUGAUUUUUUUUAAAGGAAAAUGAGUUUUGAAAUAUUAUUUUUUGAAAAAUGUGUGAUAAAAAAAAAUUUAAAUUCAUGUACAAAAUAUUUUACUAAAGUGAAUUUACGAUCGAAAAUAAGUUACUAAAGUGAAUUUACGAUUGAAAAUAAGUUUGAAAAAAAAAUAAAUUUUAGUUGAAUGGACGUCAAAAUAGGGCUUAUUAUCAAUCACCAUCAAGGCCUGCCAAAUAUCUUUGAUCAUAGGCCGAUAUAUUUUUCUUGUCUAAUCUCCCUAAUCUUCAUAGAUUAAUUAAAUUAAUUAAACACAUAAUUAAUACUCCACAAUCAAGAAUUAGGACUUUGCCGACAUAACUAGGAUUUUAAUUAAUUUUAAAGAAUUAUAAAUUCAAAUAAAUUUUGUGAAUUUGAAUAGAUUCUUACAUAUUUCAUAAGAAUCUUAUCAGAUAUAGUGAAAUUUAAAAGAUUUAUUUAUGUAUAUUUUGAAGUCUGAAAUUCAUUCAAAUCUUUUACAAUAUUUCUAUUAAUAAAAUCUUUACUAUCAACAAUUAAGAUAAGCACGAAAAUUAAAGCUUCUAUAAAUACAGAUACACCCAAUACUUUGGAUCUUGCCCUAUAUUUACCAAUUUUCAUUUCAUUCUUUCAAUUUUACUUUCAUUCAUCAAGUUUUACCUAAUAAACGAAAUAUGAAAUAAAUUAGGAUAUACUUGUUCAUAAGAACUAUUGAAUGUCUAUUUUCUUGGUCCAAGUAAGUGUAUAAAAUGUACCCAUUACUUUGCCACCAUUGGUUCCUUACUCGACCCCUCCAUCAUGCUGGCAUGUAAUUUUAGUCACCACACUGUUUUGCUCAUUCCCCCUAUUACACAAUUCAUUCAACACAUAGCGGUUUAUUGUUAACCUUAAAAUCGAAAUCAUGAGAGGUAGUGGGAGAUUGGGAUGGGCUAUAGCCCAGCCCUAUCCCCACUUAUAUGGAAUAUUAAGAAUAAAUUGUUUAUUUUUUGCUCAAAUAUUUGUCUUAGCUUAGCUUUAAUUUGAAUUCCACCUCAAGCCCAGCUCAAAAAUUUUUAAAUACUAUUUUCAUCACAUUCAUGAAACUUGAAUAUCUUAAUUUCAGAUUAGGCAUUUAAUUUAACACACGUGUGACAAAAUUUACUUAUUAUAAUAGAUAAUUUGUAUUGAUUAGAUCUAAAAAUUAAUUAUUUUAAUAAUUAGAGACAUUUCGUCUUCAUUUGGCAGAGAUUAAGUUUUGAAUUUUAACACAAGUUAAGGUUAACAAUACAAUUUAAUCAUUAUAUUUACAGAAACCACAACUUUUUAGCUACACAUUUGAUCAACUUUUAUUAAAAUCUAUUAAAUUUUAAUUUUAAUUUUAAUCCCAUCAAAUAGGGGCUACAUGUUUUGCUAAGUUUAAAAGUAAUAAUUUUUUUAUUUCUACAUAUGUUUUCAUACGUUGCUUAUUCAUACUUGUAAGCAAAAUUUACUUAUUUUGACUAUGAAACAGAUGUUAUGAUCAAAAUAAAUAACACGCUUUAAAUUUGAUCUUGUUAGUAAAAAGAAUAUUUGUUAAGAUUUAUUUAUUUAUAUAUUAAUUUGUAUAUAAGUAUAUUCUUGAAACUGAGACAUAAAUUAAAUCUAAUUUCAUUGGACCCUAAUAAUUCUUAACUGGUUUUUCUCACAUUGGAUGUGAUUCCCCACUCACUAUGAACUGAAGUGAAAUAGAAGAUUUUUGUCCACACCAAAUAAUAGUUUGAGACAAUAACGUAUAUACAAUGAUGUAUUAUUGGUUGCAUGUUUCUAUCAAAUAUUUCAGUUGUUUGAAAUAAUUGAUCUUUUAAGUUAUUUAGAACAGUAUUCACUAAAUAAAUUUUUAGUUUUUCAUUGAUGGACAUGUAUCAUUUGCUUAUUUUGAUCAUGGUUCAAUCAGUUUUAUCUAGUUUCAAUUGGUAUUCACUAAAUAAUUUUUUUAGUUUUUCAUUGAUGACUAACCAAGAAAUUUUAUCUAGUCAUGGUACCGUCACAUUCUUUGGAUAUUCAUCUCACAACUAUUAUUAUGCACAGUGUGGCCCAAUUUUCUUCUAAAGACUACGUUUGGGUUUUUAUUUUUUUUCUCUCGAAGUAUCAAAUAUUAAUUUCAGUCACAAGCCUCGUAAGUUCUACAAGUACCAUCCAUUUAUUGUUCCUUCAUUUUAUUUUUUUUAAAUUGUUGUAAAUAAAAUUAAGCCCAUGUUUGACAACGUUAAAAAUUUAAAUUAUUUGUUACAAUAUCAUUUUAUAGCCUAUACUAUACAUUCACACAAUAAAAAUAUUUUACACAAACAAUAAAAUUUCCAUACUUUUUAACCUCUACAAAAAUACUAUUCAAAAAUCUUUAAUUUUUCAAAUAAUGGGUGUCAAACGGGCUUUAAGUAUGCUGAGGCAAACUCAUGACUAUUUUUGUUGAUACCUUGUAAACGUGUCAAACUGUUUGACAUUUAUUAAAAUGAUUUUUUUUUAAAGAAAAAUGAGUUUUGAAAUAUUAUUUUUUGAAAAAUAUGUGAUUAAAAAGCAGAAAAAUUUAAAUUCACGAGCAAAAUAUUUUACUAAAAUAAAAUUACGAUUAAAAUGAGUUUGAGAAAAAAAUAUUUUUUAAUUGAAUGGAAGUCAAAUAGGGCUUAUUAUCAAUCACCAUCAAGGCCUCCCAAAUAUCUUUGAUCAUAGGCCGAGAUAUUUUUCUUGUCAAAUGUCCCUAAUCUUCAGAGAUUAAUUAAAUUAAACACAUAAUUAAUACUCCACAAUCAAGAAUUAAGACUUUGUCGACAUUAAAAUGAAAUUGACAGGGCUUUCUCGACUAAGAUUUUAAUUAAUUUUAAAGGAUUAUAAAUUCUAAUGAAUUUUGUGGAUUUGAAUAUAUUCUUACAAAUUCCAUAAGAAUAUUUUCAAAUAUGGUAAAAUUUCAAAAGAUUUGCUUAUAUGUAUCUUUAAACUUGAAAUUCAUUCAAAUCUUUUAGAAUCCUUCCAUAAAUGAAAUCUUUAUAAAUCCACUAAUUAUUGAGUAUAUCAAUUUAAAAGUAUGAAUUGGAGACACCUAGAAUUGCAUGCAAUCAUAAAAUUCCAUUUAAAAUUUGAAUGGGGGAUAUGUUCUAAAAUUCUAUUAAAUUUUGAGUUAAAUGCACGGCAUCAAAUAAUAAGUAAAAAGCAUAUCAUAAGGAAAAAUCCAUUUAAAGAGAAUUAAUUUGUAUUUGACCGUAUCUCUAAAUAUUGAAACUCCAUCUCAGCUCAUUACUUUGGAGUUAAUGGGUUAUAAAUAGGUAGUGUCUUGUAGAGCAACUCAUAAUUAAGGUAGCUUAACAUGAAGAUCGAUGCAGGAAGAAGGAUGAAAAUUAUGCUUGCGAUGUUGAUGUUGAUGUUGAGGAUGAUGGUCUUUUCGGCGCAUGGCAGUUGUUAUAGUGAUUGCAUGGAUAAUUGUUACGCGCAAUUAUUGGCUUGUGGCGCGAAAUGUAGAAGCCGGUGUGGCCAUUCCUCGUCUCUCCCCCAAUUUCCUGAAAAUGGUGGAGCAAAAGAUCAAAACAGGCAACCCAAGACUGGAAGAAAAAUUGCAGCUGGAACAAUUCUUUGAAGACCUUAUGCUACUCCAAUAAAAGAGUCCCUUAAUAGAACAAGAAAAGCAUAUUCUGUUUCCUUUUUAAUCAGAAUAAAACAUAAUAAUUUGAAAUUGUUACAGUCUAAUUUUUUAUUUUUUAUUAUUUAUUUAUUUU